GAAACAACUGCCAACAAAGCUAACAAGGGGCGCAAGCAAAUUAUCUUUGAGCCCGGUGACUGGGUUUGGGUCCACAUGAGAAAAGAGCGAUUUCCAACUAAACGCAAAACAAAAUUGGACCCACGUGGCGAUGGACCUUUUCAAAUUCGAGGGCGAAUCCUUUUGUGGAAGAGGGGAAUGAUACGAGUAACUCAGCCCAAUUCAAAGGCCAUAAUAGAGAUGAGUUUAGUUUUCCUCAAGGCCCAAUUACGAGAUCCAAAUCCAAACAAAUAAAGUCAAAACUCAACUUAGUGGUUCAAGACUUUAUCACGAAAAAAAUUCAAUAAGAAGAGUUGAAGUUUCAAGACAAUAAAUUCUGGAGUAAUGAUGAAUUAGAAGAGACUAAUUAUGUUUGUGGGCCUAAACUCUCAAUCUAUGACGACAAGCCCAUGUGGAAAAUGCUAACAAGCUUAAGCAUUUCACUUCAAGAACCCCAAUUGAUCUUACAAGCUUAGACAUUUCAUAUUGGGUUUAAGUUUUAGGCUUAAUUUUUAUUAUAUAUAAGCACAAUAUUUUGUUUA